UCCAGGCUCCGGGCUCGGGCAAGGGGCCCGGCGGGAGGACAGACAGACCCACGGAGGCACCAUCGGCGGCACCCGGCCGGGCCGGCUGGGCGCGGCGCGGGGCGGUCCGGGGGCGCCGGGGCCGGACAGGCAGUGCGCCGCGGGGCAUGGGUGCUCCGGGGGCCCCGGGGCGCAGGCCGGCCUCGGCGCGGCACCCAGGGCUUGGGGGCAGCGGCGGGCAGGGGUCCUGCCUGGCGGCCGCCGCUGACCCCCUCCGGGGCCCGUGACGCCGCGGCCGAUGUGGCCCCGCAAGCUGCGGGCCUGCAUCGCCGCAGCACAAAGAGGCCGCCGGAGCCGCCGCCUACAGCCCGGCCGCAGCAGCAGCGCGAGCCCCAGCCCGAGCCUGAGCCGGAGGGCAGGAGGCGGCGCCCGCGCGCGGCCGGCCCCGGCAUGGACAAGCGGGCGGCCGCGGGGCUGGAGGGGGCGCCGGGCGCCC
rnacentral:lncRNA from 1 species